rnacentral:rRNA from 1 species
AUUGAACGCUGGCGGCAUGCCUUACACAUGCAAGUCGAACGGUAACGCGCCUUCGGGUGCCGACGAGUGGCGAACGGGUGAGUAAUACAUCGGAACGUACCCGAUCCUAGGGUAUAACGAGGCGAAAGCUUUGCUAAUACCGCAUACGAUCUACGGAUGAAAGCCGGGGACCGCAAGGCCUUGCGCGGACGGAGCGGCCGAUGGCAGAUUAGGUAGUUGUUGGGAUAAAAGCUUACCAAGCCGACGAUCUGUAGCUGGUCUGAGAGGAUGAUCAGCCACACUGGGACUGAGACACGGCCCAGACUCCUACGGGAGGCAGCAGUGGGGAAUGUUGGACAAUGGGCGCAAGCCUGAUCCAGCCAUGCCGCGUGCAGGAUGAAGGCCUUCGGGUUGUAAACUGCUUUUGUACGGAACGAAAAGCCUUCUUUUAAUACAGGAGGGUCAUGACGGUACCGUAAGAAUAAGCACCGGCUAACUACGUG